UGAAGACUGGGGUAGUAAAUUUCUAGUAAUUGGCUCGGCCUUAUAAUAACAAACUAAGUUUGACCUCAAAUCAGGUAAGAAUACCCGCUGAACUUAAGCAUAUCAAUAAGCGGAGGAAAAGAAACCAACAGGGAUUGCCUUAGUAGCGGCGAGUGAAGCGGCAAUAGCUCAAAUUUGAAAUCUGGCGCCUUCGGUGUCCGAGUUGUAAUUUGAAGAAGGUAUCUUUGGUUUUGGCUCUUGUCUAUGUUCCUUGGAACAGGACGUCACAGAGGGUGAGAAUCCCGUGCGAUGAGAUGCCCAAUUCCAUGUAAAGUUCCUUCGACGAGUCGAGUUGUUUGGGAAUGCAGCUCUAAGUGGGUGGUAAAUUCCAUCUAAAGCUAAAUAUUGGCGAGAGACCGAUAGCGAACAAGUACUGUGAAGGAAAGAUGAAAAGAACUUUGAAAAGAGAGUGAAAAAGUACGUGAAAUUGUUGAAAGGGAAGGGCUUGAGAUUAGACUUGGAAUUUUCCAUUUUUGGAGCUUUCCGGGCCAGCAUCAGUUUGGAUGGCAGGAUAAUUGCGUUGGAAAGUAACACUACUUCGGUGGUGUAUUAUAGACUUCGUCGAUACUGCCUAUCUAGACUGAGGACCGCGUCUU
rnacentral:rRNA from 1 species